rnacentral:rRNA from 1 species
GGAGACCCCCAGAUGUGGGCCAGGCUGAAGACCUUGCCCGACUAAUAGGGGGAGAGGUGGUGCAUGGCCGCCGUCAGCUCGUACCGUAGGGCGUUCUGUUAAGUCAGGUAACGAGCGAGACCCCCGCCCCUAGUUGCUACUUGUUCCUCCGGGAGCAAGGCACACUAGGGGGACCGCUGGCGCUAAGCCAGAGGAAGGAGGGGGCAACGGUAGGUCAGUAUGCCCUGAAUCCCCCGGGCUACACGCGCGCUACAAAGGCUGGGACAAUGGGUUGCGACCCCGAAAGGGGGAGCUAAUCCCUAAACCCAGUCGUAGUUCGGACCGAGGGCUGAAACUCGCCCUCGUGAAGGUGGAUUCCGUAGUAAUCGCGCCUCAAAAUGGCGCGGUGAAUAUGCCCCUGCUCCUUGCACACACCGCCCGUCAAGCCAAGCGAGUUGGGUCUGGGUGAGGGUCUGCCGGCUUGGCAGACUCGAACCCAGGCUCAGCGAGCGGGGCUAAGUCGUAACAAGGUAUCCGUAGGGGAACCUGCGGAUG